GCGGAAGGAUCAUUAACGAGUUAGGGUCCCUCGCGGCCCGACCUCCCCAACCCUUUGUCUACCUGACCACUGUUGCUUCGGCGAGCCCGUCUGUAAUGGACCGCCGGGGGGUACCUUGAUCGGCCCUCUGGUCCGCGCUCGUCGAUAGCCAAACUUUUAAAAUCUUAACCAAACGUGUCUCAAUCUAAGUAUUAUUUGUUAAAUAAAAGCAAAACUUUCAACAACGGAUCUCUUGGUUCUGGCAUCGAUGAAGAACGCAGCGAAAUGCGAUAAGUAAUGCGAAUUGCAGAAUUUCAGUGAGUCAUCGAAUCUUUGAACGCACAUUGCGCCCUUUGGUAUUCCGAAGGGCAUGCCUGUUCGAGCGUCAUUAUCACCCCUCAAGCCCCCGGCUUGGUGUUGGACGGUUUGGUGGAGGCCCCCUCGCGGGGCCACCGCCCCUCCCAAAGACAAUGACGGCGGCCUCGUUGGACCCCCGGUACACUGAGUUCUUCACGGGACACGUAUCGGACACAUGGGUUUACGGGACACGGUCUGCCUCCCCUCAGGGAGAAUCUUUCUAAGGUUGACCUCGGAUCAGGUAGGGAUACCCGCUGAACUUAAGCAUAUCAAUAAG
rnacentral:misc_RNA from 1 species